GCGGUCGUGGCGGAAUUGGUAGACGCGCUAGAUUCAGGUUCUAGUGAGGGAAACCUUGUGAGAGUUCGAGUCUCUCCGACCGCA
rnacentral:tRNA from 1 species